AUACGGAGGGGGCUAGCGUUGUUCGGAAUUACUGGGCGUAAAGGGCGCGUAGGCGGACUAUCAAGUCAGGGGUGAAAGGCCUGGGCUCAACCCGGGAACUGCCUUUGAAACUGAAAGUCUAGAGUCCGAGAGAGGAUAGCGGAAUUCCCAGUGUAGAGGUGAAAUUCGUAGAUAUUGGGAAGAACACCAGUGGCGAAGGCGGCUAUCUGGCUCGGUACUGACGCUGAGGCGCGAAAGCGUGGGGAGCAAACAGGAUUAGAUACCCCAGUAGUCC
rnacentral:rRNA from 1 species